rnacentral:lncRNA from 1 species
AUGGAUAUCCAACCAAAAUCAAGUGAUCCUCAGCACUUAAGUUUUAAGCUUAGUGUUAUUAAAAAGAAAGAAACGCCAACAUUUGCUUCAAGCCUGUCCCAUCAGUGCAGAUUUACACAUAUCACCUGACACAUUUUUGUUAAGGUUUUACAACACCAGAAAUUUGAGAUAUUAAAAAUAGAUUAUUAAAACAAAAACAAUCAUAAUAUAUAAAAUGUUACACAACCUCACAUUACUUAGGCAUCAUAAUCUGCGAUGCUUCAGAACCCAUUAAGCUGCCAAUCAUUUUUAAUACUGCGGUUCACAUGGGUCUUUUUAGUCUGCUGCUGUUCGCUUUUUAUGGUGUCGAGUCAUGUAAUGCUGCUCCAAUAGUGGUUCAAUUCACAGUUUAAGUAACAAGAGAAACUGUGGUUCAACAUUCAGAAAUUAUAAAGUUAUUUUAAAGUUAUUAGAUAUUUACAUGUACACCUGCUUAAGGCUCUUCAGAAUCAUGAUUUUGCUACACAAAAAGCUAAACAAUUUAUAAGACUGUCUAUAAAUUAACAUACAUAAUGUUUUCCAUCUUUAAGUCAGGCCCAUUUCUCUGAACUGUCCUUAUGUAGUUGGUGGAGGCACCUGUCAGUCAUGACAUCAUUCAAAGGGAUGUUCAUUUUAACCGGUUAACCGACUGUAAGAAUUUUGACCGAUUAAUACAAUCAGUUAAACGGUUUAAAACAUCAUUUAAUUAUUUAUUUUUUCAGUAAUUUAUCAAAAUAUUUAAAAAGGUUUGCUGCAUGAUUAAAAUACGCUAUGUGUAUAACAAAAUGUUUUUUUUAGGGUGAAAACGGCCUAAUGUCGAUGCGAAAUGUUUACAAACAUUAUAAUAAACACUGUAAACAUAGCUAGGCUAUUUUAGUUCCCCUCACUCCACAACAAAUCCUUUCAAUUAACAGUAUUUAGAAAAGAACAAGAAUUAAAAAUAUAAGAAGCUAUAGCAAUAGGCCUAUAAACGACAAGCCAAAACGAAUUCAUUUAGGUUAAAACGAAACUGAAACCUACGUUGGGUCUGAUAUAUUUGAAUGGCAAAACAUUAUUUAUUAUGUAGCCUACUUCAAUCGCAUUCCAAUAUCCACGUAAAACAAAAUAUUUUGCAUAACAUCACGGCGGUACUGUGAUAACACAGAUUUUACAUAUUUUUUUUAACUAUAUAGUUUUUUUCCCCAUGUUUGACUGACUGUAUUUUAUUAUGAUAAUAAACAGGCUGCAUUGUCAAGGUAGCAAUGCUUAACUGCGUGCACACAUGCGGCGCCAGUGCAAUCACUUAAAUUUUUUCCUUCUAACAGUGGAAGAAACUACUCCUUUUAGUCCUACAGAUAAUCAGAUUUGUAAAAGGUUUGCCUUUAUUUGUGUACAUUCACAAUAAAUACAAAUCUUUGUGCUUUUGUAAAAUAAGCCUAUAGAAAAAUAGGAAUGCCGCUUUCUGCCAUCUGUUUCCUUUCACACAGCACAAAAAUGAACCGAAACUCUGCUUACUAGGCUACUUGUUGCAGUUUUUCUUUCAU